GGGUACGUAGCUCAAGGGGAGAGCACUCGGCUUGCACCCGAGGGAUCCGGGUUCGAAUCCCGGCGAAUCCAC
rnacentral:tRNA from 3 species